rnacentral:lncRNA from 1 species
AACCGACUCAUUGCUAGUCCCUUAGCAAUGGAGGAGAUAAAAACUAAGUAAACUAUAAUAAUAUACAUAAAAGGGAUCAUGCAAAUCACUCCAAAAAAUGAUAUGAGUGGCAUGAUGGACAUCCAUGGAUCAAUAAAGAUGUGAAACUCAACCUAUAAUAAGAGUUGUCAAAGCAUUCACUUGAUCAUAGAGUACAAAGAAUGGAUAUUAUGCAAGUUUAAGCAUCAAAAGAAUUUCCACUCUCAAAACAUCCAAAUCAAAUUCUUCCACUAAAAGCUAAGUGUUAAUGUGAUUAGCUUCCGAGUAUAGUAUGGAUAACUAUCAUCUCCCCCCAACCUAAGUCUUUCUUUAAGCUUAGCAAAAUUAACCAUCUCUUGAUAGGCUAGGAACACACCUCUUAUUCACAAUUCUUUUCACUUACUAAACUUAACCAAUUCACCCAUGUAACAAGCAGAGGAUCGGUGACUCCCAACCAAUAAAGGCUUAGGGCACCAGGCUUUAAAGGCUUUCGCCACCCCUUCGGACCAUGCUCAGGUUUCAAGGCAAGCAAAGAAGUUUAUUCUAU